UAGGGAAUCUUCCACAAUGGACGCAAGUCUGAUGGAGCAACGCCGCGUGAGUGAAGAAGGUUUUCGGAUCGUAAAGCUCUGUUGUUGGUGAAGAAGGAUAGAGGUAGUAACUGGCCUUUAUUUGACGGUAAUCAACCAGAAAGUCACGGCUAACUACGUGCCAGCAGCCGCGGUAAUACGUAGGUGGCAAGCGUUGUCCGGAUUUAUUGGGCGUAAAGCGAGCGCAGGCGGAAGAAUAAGUCUGAUGUGAAAGCCCUCGGCUUAACCGAGGAACUGCAUCGGAAACUGUUUUUCUUAAGUGCAGAAGAGGAGAGUGGAACUCCAUGUGUAGCGGAGGAAUGCGUAGAUAUAUGGAAGAACACCAGUGGCGAAGGCGACUCUCUGGUCUGCAACUGACGCUGAGGCUCGAAAGCAUGGGUAGCGAACAGG
rnacentral:rRNA from 1 species